rnacentral:misc_RNA from 1 species
AAGUCGUAACAAGGUUUCCGUAGGUGAACCUGCGGAGAUCAUUAACACGUAUCCAACGUUAAAAACACCCCUGUGAACCCAGCCAAGUGACUACGUCGCAUGUCAUCCCACGCAGAUGGAGUGUCAUUACCAUUCUUCAAGCAACCAUGUUUCCAAAAGCGGCUCAUGGAAGCGUAAGGAGACGCUGUAACGUUUUGCUGUAGGCCAACACGGCCGGCAAUCCAAGUGGUUGUACUUCGGUACCCUCACAUCGGCACACCACCGAUGAUAUGUCAAUUUCGCGAAUGGACGCCUCGCACCAAAAACCGAACAACUGUUAACAAUGGAUAUCUUGGUUCUC